GGGUGCGGCAUCCGGGAUCUGGCGCGGCUUUUGCUUGUAGCUCCAGCCAGAGCUCGGUUAGGGCCUCAUCGCUCUGCUCCCGCUCCUUAGGGAAGCCUCGGUGAUUCUGCCACAGCCUCAGCCUCUGUGGCUCUGUGACCUGCCGGUAUUGGAUGAUUCGUAUCUAAGACUCUGGGACACUCCUGAAGUCGGGAAAUGGUCACUACAGGAAAAGAUAUCUUCAUUAAAGUGCAACAGCACACUGAGAGCAACACACCACCACAGCAGUUAAUUUUGGAAAGGCCACUGUAAGCUCCACUAGUGACUGACAUUUUACAGAUGACAGAUUGAAGCAAGCAGCAACAUUGAAUGCUUUAUCAGGGCAAUUGCUGAAGGUUUCUCUCUGGAUCUGGAUGAAUCAUAAAUUUGGGCAACUCUGUAAAUUCUUGGAAAAGCCUAUGUGGUAUCUGAGGUAAUCUUUUCUACCUGAUUCCAUGCCACUGGUCUCCAUUCCUGGGAAGAGAUUCAGCACCAGCAGCACAUACCACUGUGAGGGCAAGUACAAAAUACCUGCUUUUAGUAGAUGAUAUAGUUCUUCUGUAAAACUUCAUUUCCAAAAAAAGGACUAUCAUCCUGUUAAAUCUGUGGACUAGAGAUCCUUGUUACAUGCCCAGGAUUACCUAUUUUAAGUAUAACUUUGUUGGAUGCCUAGUGACAUGCUUUGGCUGUGUCUCCACCCAAACCUCAUCUUGAAUUAUAGCUCCUAUAAUUCCCAUACGUUGUGAGAGGGACCUGGUGGGAGAUAAUUGAAUCAUGGGGGCAGUUUCCCCAAUAUUGUUCUCCUGGCAGUGAAUAAGUCUCAAUAGUUCUGAUGGUUUUAUACAGGGAAACCUGUUUCACUUGCUUCUCUCAUUCUCUCAUAUCUGCUGCCAAGUAAGAUGUGCCUUUUGCCUUCUGACAUGAUUGAGAGGCCUCCCCAGCAAUGUGGAAUGUGAGUCCAUUAAACAUCUUUUUCUUUAUGCAUU
rnacentral:lncRNA from 1 species